rnacentral:rRNA from 1 species
UAGGGAAUCUUCCGCAAUGGGCGAAAGCCUGACGGAGCAACGCCGCGUGAGUGAUGAAGGUCUUCGGAUCGUAAAACUCUGUUAUUCGGGAAGAACAAAUGUGUAAUUAACUAUGCACGUCUUGACGGUACCUAAUCAGAAAGCCACGGCUAACUACGUGCCAGCAGCCGCGGUAAUACGUAGGUGGCAAGCGUUAUCCGGAAUUAUUGGGCGUAAAGCGCGCGUAGGCGGUUUUUUAAGUCUGAUGUGAAAGCCCACGGCUCAACCGUGGAGGGUCAUUGGAAACUGGAAAACUUGAGUGCAGGAGAGGAAAGUGGAAUUCCAUGUGUAGCGGUGAAAUGCGCAGAGAUAUGGAGGAACACCAGUGGCGAAGGCGACUUUCUGGUCUGUAACUGACGCUGAUGUGCGAAAGCGUGGGGAUCAAACAGG